GGGAGGCCAUACAUGUGUGAAGGCAGGGGUGUAUAUGGCAAAUCUUUGGAGUGCGUGACAAUUUUUGCUAUGAAACUAAAGCUACAUCGAAAUUGUAAAGUUACAAGAAAUUGGCAUUAAAUUUAGGAAUACAUACUAAGAAAGAAGAGAGAAAGGCAACUUAUGUAUGGUAGAUUUACUAUUUGAACAAAAGAGAGUCUCUAUCUAGAGCCUGUAUUUUACUGGAUUCAUUCUGUUCACUUCAUCUUUAGAACCUGUCACAUAACUAAGGUAAAGCAAGAUUAUGAAAAGAAAAAUGAAGUGGGAAAAAAAAAAAUGAAGUGGGAUUUCCCCAUACACUUUUGGCAGACGGGAAGCAACAAGCUUCAUUUGCAGCUAAUGAGAAGCCUAUAUGUUGGCAUUCCAGAACUGGCCUCAUGACUCUACCUCAUGAAUAUCUCAGGAUCUUGCUUCUGCUCGUCAUCUUUGCCAAGAGACUCCCAUCUCACAGCUUCCUUGUGGUCACAACACAAGUGCCUCUGUUCUGCACUGAAGGCAGGAAAGAGAAUAAGAAAAAGCCCUGCUUCUGCGGAAAGCAGACUCCCUAGCAGAACUAUGUCACUAGGACAAACCCAAAGCCUGGAAACAUAUUCUUGUAGUCACUUUUUAGGUACCUUCUUUGGAAUAUAUGCUAUCUAG
rnacentral:lncRNA from 1 species